AGGGCGGCCAGGAGGAGGGGCUGCGGGAAAAGCAGCAGCUAGAUGGUGGGUGCACAAGGCCGAGUUCAGUCUGUGGAGAGGCAGGGAAACUGGACAAAGGAAGAAGUAGAUACAAAUGGCAAAGUAACAAUUUUUCUAUGUUUAUCAUUACUGUUAUCAGCCAUAUAAUACUGAAGGUUUCUUGAAAACAAACGGUCAUUUUUACUGUGAUGACUGAAGUUAACUAUAUACUGUAGUCUGCAAAGCUAUUAUUCAUAAUUCUUACAAUUCCUACAAUUCUUAUUAUUAAAUAUUAGUAAGUCCUCCUUUGUAGCAGUGUCAGCUUUUAAUAAACAUUUUCUCUUAUAUUUAGGGCAAUUUUCCACUGUGGGUAUUACUCUCUAUUUACCAGAUUAAAAGCUGAGGUUUCAAGAACACAGGCUUGUCUAAUAAUAUGGAACUCGUAAAUAUCCCUGGCAAUUCUCAUAUCAGGCUAACUGACUGCUAUGCUGUCCUCACAUUUCUAAAAGUGAUGUUUCUAAAGUUACUAGGACUUUUUUUUUUUUAAAGGAAGUGUAGCAUAUUUCACACAGCUGCAGGGCAUAAAUAUCACAUGCGGGGUAGCUGUAAACACUGUACUAAAGUAGGGCUGGUCACAUUCAGAAGACAAGAGGAACUCGGGGGACUGGAGCCACAGCCUCCUGGAGAAUCUGAGAGCUCAGUGCACAGCGGGCUGAACCCCAGGCACAGGACCUCUCGAGACUCACACUGUGUCUCCCGUGCUGUGUGUCAUCUGAAAUAAGUGUCAAGCAUUACAGAAAAAUCUCAAGAAACCAAGGCAACCUCAUGAUGCCACAGCAUGCGAACCUGGAGAUGGAGGCAAUGCUCCCACCAAACACCCUCAGCCAUGGCCAAACUGACCCCAUCAAGAUGGAAGGCGGCCUGCAGAGACAUCUGAGGAUGGGCAUCAAAGUCUUUGGGGCAAAUAGGGCUCAGAGCUGGUGGGAGUGGGCUGGAGGGGAGGGAGAGGCGGUGUGUUUCCUGCCUGGAGGCCCACUGUGAAGGGGGGACCUUGGGCUCUGUGAGGGGCCAAGGCUGCUCUGAAGGCCGGGCAAGUCCGGGAGGGCUGUGCAGUCCUCCCACAAGUUGUCCCACAGAUGGAGACUGCUGUUUCUCUUACAAUGAGAGUGAGUAACUGAGUGAUUGUCGGUUACUGACUGUUUCCUAUUUGUGUAGGACAGUUCUUUUGGUAUUUCCUGUUAUGAGACUAAUGGUAAAGAAUUGCCUAUUCUAUAUAUUUUGGUUUUUCUUUACUAUCUCCAUGUUUCAAUAAUCAUUGGUUUCAAAGGGACA
ensembl:lncRNA